rnacentral:rRNA from 1 species
GGCAUCUUGCACAAUGGGGGAAACCCUGAUGCAGCGACGCCGCGUGGAGGAUGACGGAUCUAGGUCUGUAAACUCCUUUUUCAUGGAAAGACUUAGGACGGUACCAUGAGGAUAAGGACCGGCUAACUACGUGCCAGCAGCCGCGGUAAGACGUAGGGUCCAAGCGUUGUCCGGAUUUACUGGGCGUAAAGAGCGCGUAGGCGGCUUGUUAAGUGUGAAGUGAAAUCUACAGGGCUCAACCCGGAAACUGCUUCGCAUACUGGCAAGCUUGAGGAAUGCAGAGGUUUGUGGAAUUCCUGGUGUAACGGUGAAAUGUGUUGAUAUCAGGAGGAACACCCAUGGCGAAGGCAGCAAACUGGGCAUUAUCUGACGCUGAGGCGCGAAAGCGUGGGUAGCAAAC